UGUUACCAUGAAACCAUCCAGCAAUUAGACAGUACCGUAGGGAUGUUACCUGAAACCGGUGAUUUAACGUCAACUCUCAUUUUACACAAAACAAAACACUGAGUGAACAUUACUAGCUACCUUUUUCCUGUUGGUUUUGAGUGGUAUGCACCCCCACUCACCUGUAAAAACAGUUUUAAAACAGUAGCCAACGUUAAUACAGCGUGUCGGAGGAAUACAGCGUCUCCUGCAGCGGGGGUCAGAGGAGAGAGGG